rnacentral:rRNA from 1 species
AUUGAACGCUGGCGGCAGGCCUAACACAUGCAAGUCGAACGAGUGGCGGACGGGUGAGUACUGUCUGGGAAACUGCCUGAUGGAGGGGGAUAACUACUGGACACGGUCGCUAAUACCGCAUACCCUCGGAUGUGCCCAGAUGGGAUUGGCUAGUAGGUGGGGUAAAGGCUCACCUAGGCGACGAUCCCUAGCUGGGCUAAGAGGAUGACCAGCGACACUGGAACUAGGACACGGUCCUGACUCCUACGGGAGGCAUCAGGGGGGAAUAUUGGACAAUGGGCGCAAGCCUGAUGAAGCCAUGCCGCGUGUAUGAAGAAGGCCGUCGGGUUGUAAAGUACUUUCAGCGGGGAGGCGUUACCCGCAGAAGAAGCACCGGCUAACUCCGUGCCAGCAGCCGCGGUAAUUC